rnacentral:rRNA from 1 species
GACGAACGCUGGCGGCGUGCCUAAUACAUGCAAGUCGAGCGAAUCAAUAGGAGCUUGCUCCUGUUGAUUAGCGGCGGACGGGUGAGUAACACGUGGGCAACCUGCCUGUAAGACUGGGAUAACACCGGGAAACCGGUGCUAAUACCGGAUAAUCCUUUUCCUCUCAUGAGGGAAAGCUGAAAGUCGGUUUCGGCUGACACUUACAGAUGGGCCCGCGGCGCAUUAGCUAGUUGGUGAGGUAACGGCUCACCAAGGCGACGAUGCGUAGCCGAACUGAGAGGGUGACCGGCCACACUGGGACGGGAACACGGCCCAGACUCCUACGGGAGGCAGGAGUAGGGAAUCUUCCACAAUGGACGAAAGUCUGAUGGAGCAACGCCGCGUGAGCGAUGAAGGCCUUCGGGUCGUAAAGCUCUGUUGUUAGGGAAGAACAAGUACCGGAGUAACUGCCGGUACCUUGACGGUACCUAACCAGAAAGCCACGGCUAACUACGUGCCAGCCGCCGCCGUAA